GAGUUUGAUCUUGGCUCAGAUUGAACGCUGGCGGCAGGCCUAACACAUGCAAGUCGAGCGGAUGAAGGGAGCUUGCUCCUGGAUUCAGCGGCGGACGGGUGAGUAAUGCCUAGGAAUCUGCCUGGGUAGUGGGGGAUAACGUCCGGAAACGGGCGCUAAUACCGCAUACGUCCUGAGGGAGAAAGUGGGGGAUCUUCGGACCUCACGCUAUCAGAUGAGCCUAGGUCGGAUUAGCUAGUUGGUGGGGUAAAGGCCUACCAAGGCGACGAUCCGUAACUGGUCUGAGAGGAUGAUCAGUCACACUGGAACUGAGACACGGUCCAGACUCCUACGGGAGGCAGCAGUGGGGAAUAUUGGACAAUGGGCGAAAGCCUGAUCCAGCCAUGCCGCGUGUGUGAAGAAGGUCUUCGGAUUGUAAAGCACUUUAAGUUGGGAGGAAGGGCAGUAAGUUAAUACCUUGCUGUUUUGACGUUACCAACAGAAUAAGCACCGGCUAACUUCGUGCCA
rnacentral:rRNA from 1 species